CCCCCCUCUGGUUGGGGUUUUAAUCUUUUGGAAUUUUCACAAAUCUUGGACGAUGAAAAAGGAUCCUUCCCAAAAAAAUUUGGUGAGCUCAAUUCUUGGAAGCCUUUACAAAAGGAAUCCAUCUGAAUGAGGCCCUCUGCACCAUGGAUGGAGUUGACUACUAGUUGGAGUUUCCUCAAAGAGUGAUUAACUUUCUUGAUUUUUCGAGAAGGCCAUCGGUUGAUACCAUGUUGCCUGCAUAUCCUUUUUAGAGUAGUGGGGCAUACUCCAAUACUCUUAGCAGCAUCUUUAAGGCUACCAGCAAAAUACUGUCGAAGAAUUUGCAAAGUGAUUGUCUU
rnacentral:misc_RNA from 1 species